rnacentral:rRNA from 1 species
UACGGGGGGAGCAAGCGUUGUUCGGAUUUACUGGGCGUAAAGGGCGCGUAGGCGGCCACUGCAAGUCAGUUGUGAAAUCUCCGGGCUUAACCCGGAAAGGUCAACUGAUACUGCAGGGCUAGAGUGCAGAAGGGGCAACUGGAAUUCUCGGUGUAGCGGUGAAAUGCGUAGAUAUCGAGAGGAACACCUGCGGCGAAGGCGACACGCUGGGCCGUACCUGACACUGAUGCGCGACAGCAUGGGGAGCAAACAGG